UGGGGAAUUGUUCGCAAUGGGCGCAAGCCUGACGACGCAACGCCGCGUGGAGGAUGAAGACCUUCGGGUCGUAAACUCCUUUCGACCGAGAUGAAUUCCCGCCGAUCUAAUACAUUGGCGGGUUGACAGUAUCGAGGGAAGCAGCCCCGGCUAACUCCGUGCCAGCAGCCGCGGUAAUACGGGGGGGGCAAGCGUUGUUCGGAAUUACUGGGCGUAAAGGGUCGGUAGGUGGCCAACUAAGUCAGACGUGAAAUCCCUCAGCUUAACUGGGGAACUGCGUCUGAGACUGGAUGGCUCGAGUGCAGGAGAGGAAUGCGGAAUUCCAGGUGUAGCGGUGAAAUGCGUAGAUAUCUGGAGGAACACCGGUGGCGAAGGCGGCAUUCUGGACUGCAACUGACACUGAACGACGAAAGCCAGGGGAGCAAACGG
rnacentral:rRNA from 1 species